CUGUGCCAACCUUAUCUGCAGCAGGAGAUUGCAGGGGCAGGACUAGGCAGCAGAUAAAGGCAUUCUGGCACCACCGAAAAGCUUGCACUCCACGUCUCAACUAUCACCGUCUGGGUUUCAAGCUGAAGGCUGUCACCAGUGCCAACCAGUCGCCCCUUCAAAGUUCAUCUGUUUUUGUUGACGGAACAGUAACACCUGAGCGCUCAAGGGCAGUUCAAGCAGUUUCAUCUGUGCAACACCACAUACUUUUUCUCAGUUUUGACUAAGGUAAACCUGUCACGCAGAUGCCCUACCCCUUGGUAUGCAUAGUUCAAGAUUGUACCGAAACAAUCCACCUGGAGCAUUAUUCUUCAGUUGGCAGUGGAAUUACUAUCACAACACACCACAUACUGCAUGUCUAUGGUGCGUGUACAAUGCAUCAAACCUAUUCUCAGGUACAGGCCAGCUGGUACGCAAUUACAACAUGAAACAACUGACACAGAGACCGUAAAGUCAUGC